rnacentral:piRNA from 1 species
AGGAAGCUAAAUUUGGGCACAACCAGA